rnacentral:rRNA from 1 species
CCUACGGGGGGCAGCAGUGGGGAAUAUUGGACAAUGGGCGAAAGCCUGAUCCAGCCAUGCCGCGUGUGUGAAGAAGGCCUUCGGGUUGUAAAGCACUUUCAGUGGGGAAGAAAGCCUUGGGGCUAAUACCCUCGAGGAAGGACAUCACCCACAGAAGAAGCACCGGCUAACUCCGUGCCAGCAGCCGCGGUAAUACGGAGGGUGCGAGCGUUAAUCGGAAUUACUGGGCGUAAAGCGCGCGUAGGCGGUCUGAUAAGCCGGUUGUGAAAGCCCCGGGCUCAACCUGGGAACGGCAUCCGGAACUGUCAGGCUAGAGUGCAGGAGAAGAAGGUAGAAUUCCCGGUGUAGCGGUGAAAUGCGUAGAGAUCGGGAGGAAUACCAGUUGCGAAGGCGGCCUUCUGGACUGACACUGACGCUGAGGUGCGAAAGCGUGGGUAGCAAACAGGAUUAGAUACCCGGGUAGUC